UACGUAGGGGCCGAGCGUUGUCCGGAGUUAUUGGGCGUAAAGCGCGCGCAGGCGGCCUCGCGCGCCCGACGUGAAAGCCCCCGGCUUAACCGGGGAGGGUCGUUGGGGACGGCGGGGCUUGAGGGCGGGAGAGGUCGGUGGAAUUCCCGGUGUAGUGGUGAAAUGCGUAGAGAUCGGGAGGAACACCUGUGGCGAAGGCGGCCGACUGGGCCGACCCUGACGCUGAGGCGCGAAGGCGUGGGGAGCGAACAGG
rnacentral:rRNA from 1 species